UACGUAGGAGGCAAGCGUUGUCCGGAAUUAUUGGGCGUAAAGAGCUCGUAGGCGGCUUGUCGCGUCGGAUGUGAAAGCCCGGGGCUUAACUCCGGGUCUGCAUUCGAUACGGGCAGGCUAGAGUUCGGUAGGGGAGAUCGGAAUUCCUGGUGUAGCGGUGAAAUGCGCAGAUAUCAGGAGGAACACCGGUGGCGAAGGCGGGUCUCUGGGCCGAUACUGACGCUGAGGAGCGAAAGCGUGGGGAGCAAACAGG
rnacentral:rRNA from 1 species